CUGUAUGUUCGUGUCGGGAUUCUCAUGGUUUCCUAUCUUCCUUCUUUCUUUUUAGAUAGAAGAUGGAGAAAUUUUUGCAAGUAUUAACCAGAAGGAUGGUAUGGUCAGUUUCCAUGAUAAUCCUGAAAAGUAUAACAACCCAGCCAUGCUUCAUAACAUUGAUCAAGAGAUGCUAAAAUGCAUAGAGCUGGAUGAGCGACUGAAGGCCAUGGACCAGGAGAUCACAGUGAACCCCCAGUUUGUUCAAAAGAGCAUGGGCUCACAAGAAGAUGACUCAGGAAACAAGCCCUCCAGCUACUCUUGAAACUAACUCCCAUCCUGAGGUAACAGCCUUGCCCUGGCAAGUGUGAAGAGGGAGGGCAGCAGGAAGUACCAUGCUGGUCCACGCCGGUUCCUCCUGGACAUUCAGAAAUUCAGUUUUAACAUCUUCAGUUAUAUUGCUUUCAGAAAACCAUUCUCUGCAAAGAAAGAAAAAAAAAUCUACUUUAGAGUCUGUUGUGGAUUUAUUUAUCCUCAGAUUAUUGUUAUUAUUGCAUUAAAGUUACCUUUUUGUUUU
rnacentral:lncRNA from 1 species